CUUAACCUACGGGGCGCAGCAGUGGGGAAUAUUGCACAAUGGGCGAAAGCCUGAUGCAGCAACGCCGCGUGAAGGAAGAAGGGUUUCGGCUCGUAAACUUCUAUCAACUGGGACGAAAGAAAUGACGGUACCUGAAUAAGAAGCCCCGGCUAACUACGUGCCAGCAGCCGCGGGAAUACGUAGGGGGCAAGCGUUAUCUGGAAUUACUGGGGGUAAAGGGUGAGUAGGCGGCAUGGUAAGCCAGAUGUGAAAGCCUUGGGCUUAACCCAAGGAUUGCAUUUGGAACUAUCAAGCUAGAGUACAGG
rnacentral:rRNA from 1 species